UAGGGAAUCUUCCGCAAUGGACGAAAGUCUGACGGAGCAACGCCGCGUGAGUGAAGAAGGAUUUCGGUUCGUAAAACUCUGUUGUUAGGGAAGAAAAAAUGUAUAGUAACUAUAUACAAAAGAGACGGUACCUAACCAGAAAGCCACGGCUAACUACGUGCCAGCAGCCGCGGUAAUACGUAGGUGGCAAGCGUUGUCCGGAAUUAUUGGGCGUAAAGCGCGCGCAGGUGGUUUAGAAAGUCUGAUGUGAAAGCCCACGGCUCAACCGUGGAGGGUCAUUGGAAACUGGGAAGCUUGAGUACAGAAGAGGAAAGUGGAACUCCAUGUGUAGCGGUGGAAUGCGUAGAUAUAUGGAAGAACACCAGUGGCGAAAGCGACUUUCUGGUCUGUCACUGACGCUGAGGCCCGAAAGCGUGGGUAGCAAACAGG
rnacentral:rRNA from 1 species